rnacentral:rRNA from 1 species
GACGAACGCUGGCGGCGUGCCUAAUACAUGCAAGUCGAACGAACUCUGGUAAUGAUUGGUGCUUGCAUCAUGAAUUACAUUUGAGUGAGUGGCGAACUGGUGAGUAACACGUGGGAAACCUGCCCAGAAGCGGGGGAUAACACCUGGAAACAGAUGCUAAUACCGCAUAACAACUUGGACCGCUAGGUCCGAGUUUGAAAGAUGGCUUCGGCUAUCACUUUUGGAUGGUCCCGCGGCGUAUUAGCUAGAUGGUGAGGUAACGGCUAACCAUGGCAAUGAUACGUAGCCGACCUGAGAGGGUAAUCGGCCACAUUGGGACUGAGACACGGCCCAAACUCCUACGGGAGGCAGCAGUAGGGAAUCUUCCACAAUGGACGAAAGUCUGAUGGAGCAACGCCGCGUGAGUGAAGAAGGGUUUCGGCUCGUAAAACUCUGUUGUUAAAGAAGAACAUAUCUGAGAGUAACUGUUCAGGUAUUGACGGUAUUUAACCAGAAAGCCACGGCUAACUACGUGCCAGCCGCCGCCGUAA